rnacentral:rRNA from 1 species
UGGGGAAUUUUCCACAAUGGACGAAAGCCUGAUGGAGCAACGCCGCGUGCGCGAUGAAGGCCUUCGGGUUGUAAAGCGCUGUUAUACGGGAAGAAAGCCAUUGAUAGGAAAUGAUCGAUGGGAUGACGGUACCUUAUCAGAAAGCCACGGCAAACUACGUGCCACAAGCCGCGGUAGUACGUAGGUGGCAAGCGUUGUCCGGAUUUACUGGGCGUAAAGCGCGCGCAGGCGUGGGUGGACGACGAAGUG